rnacentral:rRNA from 1 species
UACAUAACCUCAGUGGGGUAGGAUUACCCGCUAGACUUAAGCAUAUUAAUCAGCGGAGGAAAAGAAACUAACAAGGAUUCCCCUAGUAACUGCGAGUGAAGAGGGAAUAGCUCAACGUGUGAAUCUGUCCGGGAGUAACCCCUGGUUCAGAGUUGUGCACUGUAGACGUCGGUUUCUGCGCUUGAAUUCCAGUUGUCAGUCCCAAGUCGGAUGAAACACCGCACCACAGAAGGUCAUAGCCCUGUGUCUGACUGUGCUUGAAUUUGCGCCAAUGACCGCACGUUCGUCGAGUCGCGUAGUUUUGUAAUGCUGCGCCAAUUGGGAGGUGGAACCCUUCUAAAGCUAAAUAUCAUGACGUGACCGAUAGCAAACAAGUACCGCGAGGGAAAGGUGAAAAGCAACCAUGUAGAAUGCGUUGAAACAGCAGUGAAAGUGCUACUGGGAUAAGGGCUAUUGAGUGCUAGUCUUUUGGUAGCGUGCUUUAGUGCUGCUCCAGGAGCGGCCUGCGUUGAUUGGAACUGGGAGACAUGCUCGGGGUUGAAUUCGGCCAAUGGCUUGCCACUGGUGUUGUAGCUCCCCGGGGAGUUGAGCCCAGAACCGAUCAAAGAUGCUUUACGGCG